rnacentral:rRNA from 1 species
AGCGUAGACGGUUGUGCAAGUCUGAUGUGAAAGCCCGGUGCUCAACGCCGGGACUGCAUUGGAAACUGUAUAACUAGAGUGCAGGAGAGGUAAGCGGAAUUCCUAGUGUAGCGGUGAAAUGCGUAGAUAUUAGGAGGAACACCAGUGGCGAAGGCGGCUUACUGGACUGUAACUGACGUUGAGGCUCGAAAGCGUGGGGAGCAAACA